CAGUCUGGCCGUAAGGAUUGUGUGCUCUGAAGAAAACAAAAGAAUAAAGAAAAAAAGAAAAUAAGGAGAGAAGAAAAAAGAAGUCUAGUCUAGUGGAGAUAAAAGACAAUUUGGAAAGAAGAAAAGACGAAAAUUGAGUGAGGUAAAGUUUUGAAGGACUACGAUUACCACUACUACUACUACUACUACAACUACUACUACUACUACUGCUACUACUACUACUACUACUGCUACUACUACUACUACUGCUACUACUACUACUAUUGCUACUACUGCUGGGAAUAAGGCCUUAAAACGGUUUUUCUCUAUCAUGCACAAUUGGGGCUCAUCCGGCAGUAUCACCCUGAACCACCCUGCACAGCCCACGCCCUCCCCCACGCCCUCACGCCCAGCCCCCGCCUACAGGAACAACCCCAGUGACGCCCAGACCGAGGAGGAGACCCGGAGGUUACGCCAGGAUGAGAGUCAGGACCUGGACCAUAUCAAAGUCGAGGACAAGGAGACGCGGUGUUGCCAAUCCAAGUAUAGUCAGGCUCUCAAGCACCUCCUGCCAUGCCGACCCGCGAGAAAGGACAAGAACCUCCUCCCGAGCAACAACGCGGGCUUCUUCAGCUACCUGAGUGUCACCUGGCUCACGCAGCUCAUGAUCAAGGCCUACAGACACGGCCUCGACCCAGGGGACAUGUGGAAGCUACAACAUGAGGACGGCGCGGAGGUCAACUCUACGAGGAUGGAGCGGCUCUGGGAGGAGGAGAAGGAUAUUAUGACGAAGACCAAAAGGAAGCCGGAGCUCUGGAGGGCCGUCUGGAGGGCCAUGAGAACCAGAGUGAUCGUUUGCAUGACUAUCUCCGUUAUCCAGAAUAUACUGCAGUUCUUCGGCCCGUCCAUAAUGCUGAAGCUGGUGCUGGACUACAUCGCUGAGCCUGAGACUGACCUCCUUUAUGCCAGCCUCAUCACGGUGGGGACCUUCGCCAUCAACCUCAGCCGCGGCGCCGCCUUCAACGCCAUGUUCGUGGUGGGCACUCACACAGCUACGAGGAUCACAGGGGCGGUGCAGGCGAUGAUCUACAAGAAGGUUCUGCGGCUGAAGACUGGUGGGGAGAGGCUGUCCGCGCAGAUCAUCAACUUCUCCAACAACGACAUGGAGAGACUCUUUGAAGCCUGCCUCUCCUGCGUCUUCAUAACCGCCAUGCCAGUCCUCUUCACCAUGAGCGUCAUCUACUGCCUCUACAUCCUCGGCCCUUGGUCACUGCUCGGCCAAGGCGUCUACAUACUCUUCUAUCCCCUCAUGGCAGUGAUCGCCAAGGCCCAGAGCAGCAUCAGGACAGAGACGGUGAAGGUGACGGACAAGCGUGUGGCCCUGAUGAGCGAGGUUCUUAACAGCAUGCGACUCAUCAAAAUGUAUUCAUGGGAAGACUCGUUCUCCAGGAAGAUCUCAGACAUCAGGAAGGAGGAACUGAAGAAGCAUCGUGUCGGGGCGUUGCUACAGGCCGUCAGCUCCACCAUCACGCCCAGCAUCAGCAUCCUGGCCACCAUCGUCACCUUGAUGGGAUACACUCUCUCAGGCUCCCCACUCAAAUCCUCUGAGGCCUUCACCAUCUUCUCCGUGUUCAACAUGAUGCAGUUCACCAUCGGCGUUCUCCCCUUCACUGUGAGGUCCAUCGCCGAGGCCAAGAUCUCCAUGACCAGGAUACAGAAACUAAUGGAGCUUCCGGAGCACCACAAGGAUGCAGGCGGGCAGCUCAACAACAACCUGGCGCUGCAGAUCAAGGACGCAGACUUCUCGUGGGAGGUUCUCAACAUUGACUUUAAGCAGAAGGGUUCCCGAGCCAGCCCCACUAAAUCCUCCUCCAGUGAUAAGCUAAAGAAUGGGGAUGCUAAAAAUGGCAGCAAACACACGAACGGCCACGUGAAGAGCAACCACACCAACGGGAACAGCAACAGCCCCAUCAAGGCCACCACCGAGGACACCAACGGCAACACCACCACCUCCGACAUCACCAAGAGCGUCGACACCCUCUUCAACAUCAACGUGUCGAUUGAACGCGGGAAACUUGUGGGUGUGUGUGGCAGCAUCGGUGCGGGGAAGAGCUCGCUGAUCUCGGCCCUCUGUGGUGAUAUGAUCACCAAGAACGGCAGCAUGCAAGUGAACGGUCGUCUGGCGCUGGUGACACAACAGGCGUGGAUCUACAACGACACCUUCCGGGAGAACCUCUUGGUGGGGCAGGGCUAUGACGCGGAGAAGUACAGGAAGGUGAUACGUGUCUGCUCGCUGGAGUCCGACAUUGAGCUCCUGGCGAACGGGGACAUGACGGAGAUUGGGGAGCGAGGAAUUAACUUGAGCGGUGGCCAGAAGCAGCGGGUCAACCUGGGUCGUGCCGUGUACAGUGACCGUGACAUUUACCUCCUGGACGACCCCCUGAGCGCCGUGGACACCAAGGUCGCGCGGCACAUCUUCAACCAGUGCAUCAAGGGCCACCUGGCGGACAAGACGGUUAUUUUGGUCACCCACGCACCACACUUCCUCGAGAAAUGCGACGAGAUCAUUGUGAUGCAGGAGGGGAGGAUCGCCGACAGAGGGACUCACGCUGAACUGAUUGCAAGGAAGGGGGAAUACUUCGACAUGGUGGGCCACGAGCCAUCCCACAGCAGCCAGGAGGAACAGGACAAGGAGGAGACCAAGGAGACAGAUGUGAAGGGAGAAACUAUAAUGAAAAAGGAGGCAGAGAAGGAAGGUGACCAGGAGAAGGGGAAGCUGAUCACCGAGGAGACCAAGGCGACCGGGAGCGUGAGCAAUGAGGUGUAUCGGACGUUUAUCAAGGUGAGUGGCGGCUGGUGCAUCACAGGGAUCAUCUUCUUCGCCAUCAUCAUCUUCACCCUCAGCCGUAUGUUCAGCGCGAUCUGGCUUCAGUACUGGUUGGAUCAGGGUGACGGACAAAUCGAAGAGCGUAUGAUGAAUAUUAGCGAGUACAACCUCACGCUGUCGGAGGAGGAGAUCAAGGGCAGCAUCGUGGAGAACCCGGCGCUGUGGUUCUAUCAGCUGGUCUACUGCCUCAGCUUCAUCCUGCUGCUCAUCACUGGGGUCGUUAAAGGCAUUGGCGUGACCUUCAGGGUGCUGGCGGGCGCGUCCAAGCUCCACAACCACAUGUUCAUCAGCAUCCUCCGUUCCCCGAUGAGCUUCUUCGACACCACACCUACCGGCCGCAUCCUCAAUAGGUUCUCGAGGGACUUGGACGAGUUGGACGUGCGAGUUCCGUUCUUCCUCGAGUUCCUGCUGCAGGGGCUCCUCUUCGUGGCCGGCCAGAUCAUCCUCGUCUGCUUCAUCUAUGUGUGGUUCAUCAUUCCCCUUGUCUUCAUUUCUGUUCUCUUCCUCGUGGUGGACAUCUUCCUGAACGCCGGUGUGAGGGAGCUGAAGCGUCUCGACAACACCCUCAAGUCACCCAUCACCCAGCACAUCGGCUCAUCCAUCAGCGGCCUCAGCGUCAUCCGCACGUUCGACAAGGAAAAACUCUUCACUCAUCGGAUGUACAAGUAUCUGGACAAGCACUCGGCCGCCCUGCUCGUGUUCCGUCUCUCCAAUCGCUGGUUCACCUUCCGCAUGGACAUAAUCUCGAUGAUGGUCACGCUCGCCAUCACUGCCAUCUGUGUGUUCACCAAGGGCGCCGUCAGCACUGCCCUCGCCGGCCUUGCUCUCUCGAUGAUCAAUGGGGUGUGUGCGUUCACCCCGUUCCUGAUGAGGAUGAAGUCAGAGUUCCAGUCCCGCGUCACCUCCGUGGAGCGCAUCAUCGAGUACGCCUACGGCCUGACCAGUGAAGCGCCAAGGGAGAUCCCCGAGACAUGCCCCGCCCAGCCCUGGCCUGCUCACGGCACCAUCGAGCUACAGGAGGUGAAGCUGCGGUACCGGCCUGACCUGCCCCUCGUCCUCCACGGCAUCAGCGCCACCAUCAACGCCGGGGAGAAGAUAGGCAUCGUCGGGCGGACUGGAGCGGGCAAGUCAUCGCUCAUCUCCACGUUGCUGCGGAUGAGUGAGUUGGAUUCCGGCCGCGUGGUCAUCGACGGGGUGGAUGUGAGCGUGGUCGGGCUCCACACACUGCGCUCCAGCAUCUCCGUCAUACCCCAGGACCCAGUGCUCUUCCAGGGGUCACUCAGGUACAACUUAGACCCCUUUGAGGCCCACACUGACGAGGAGGUGUGGCAGGCACUCGAGCAGUCGCACCUCAAGCCCGUGGUUCAGCGGCAGCAACACGGCCUGAGCUGCAAGGUGGAGGCGGGCGGGGAGAACUUUUCCGUCGGUGAGCGCCAGCUGAUCUGCCUGACGAGGGCGCUACUCAGGAACAGCAAGAUCUUGCUGCUGGAUGAGGCGACAGCAUCCGUGGACGUUGAGACUGACCACCUCAUCCAGGCCACCAUCCGGGAGGCGUUCCAGGCCAGCACGGUCCUCACCAUCGCCCACAGACUCAACACUGUCGCCCACUAUGAUAGGAUACUGGUCCUGGAGGCGGGCAAGGUCCAGGAGUUCGACACACCAGCGUCCCUCAUGAGCAAAGAAGGGUCACUAUUCCGGGAGAUGCUGGGUGCCAUGGGAGUGACCACAGUCGAACAAAUGCUGGCGCUCACCUAGUACCCCAUACCUCUUAAGUAAGGCAUUCACAGCUCCAGUGAUAUUGCGUGUAAGGUAUUUUUGUCAUCCCAUUGCGUACGUACAUUCUCUAGGCUUAACUACGCUAUAAAUAUGGAUGUACAAAGGGUUGAGUCCUUCCGAGUACGAGUUCGUGUCUCCAAGUGUGAUUCUGCUUUCGAGGGUGUCAAAAAUGAUGUCAUUCUAUAGCAUACACAUGUUUUCCUAGGCUCAAAUACAUGAUGGAUGAUACGUAUGUGUGGUAAUUCUCAUUUGGGGUAUAGGGAAGGAUUGGUUUGUGUUUUGUGUAGCUGCUUUAUCCCGAAAUCUAGUUGAGUUUGCCUUUCAUCUGCCGGGAAGAGAACGUAAGCUAAGGUGAGGGAGAACGUGUAGCACUGUGAGAGUGUGUUGGGAAUUGCUGCUGUAUCCUGAAAUCUAGUUGAGUUUGCCCUUCAUCUGCCGGGAAGAGAACGUAAGCUAAGGAGGGAGGAUGUACCGCUGUGAGAGAGUGUCGGGAGUUGCCCUGUAUCCUGAAAUCUAGUUGAGUUUGCCCUUCAUCUGCCAGGAAGAGAAUGUAAGCUAAGGAGGGAGGAUGUACCGCUGUGAGAGUGUCGGGAGUUGUCCUGUAUCCUGAAAUCUAGUUGAGUUUGCCCUUCAUCUGCCGGGAGAGAACGUAAGCUAAGGUGAGGAAGGACGUGUGAGAGUGUGUCAGGAGUUCGCCUAUAAGAAGAAUCUCUGUAUAUUCCCAUUCAAGCUAAGUCCCAUUCACAAUGUGCCGACUCUGGGCCACAACAACCCAGCGAUUCGGGGUAUACGAGGUCUUGGGUGUGAAAUGUUGAUGUGAAAGGGUUGCACACGGUCGGAAAUAGGUCUGUAAAUGAUCGCCGGAUGUUGAAGGGGGCUUAAAAGUCGCUCGGUUAUCAUGGCCCAGAGUCAGCACAGUGUGAACGGGGCUUUAGUUGACAGUGGCAUUACGUAAGGGAAAGAAGAUCACAGUUAUUUAUGCUCGUGUUAAGUAAAGAGAUGUAUAGUAGGAACGGAGAUAUAUUAGUGAUCAUGGAAGGUUACAAUAUAUAUGUUUAAAGAAUGGGUUUUGCAUAUUAAAGUUAAAACUGUGAGAGGUAGCAUUUUACAGUUAUUUACCUCCAUGUUAACUAAAGAGAUGUACAGUAGGAACGGAGAUAUAUUAAUGAUCAUGGAAGGUUACAAUAUGCAUGUUUAAAGAAUGAGAGUGUGUCAGGAGUUUGCCUAAAAGAAGAACCUGUUAAUUCCUGUUCAUGUUAGUCCACAGUGGUAUUAUGACGAAGAAUGAUGAUUACAGUUAUUUACCUUUGUGUUAACUAAAGAGAUGUACAGUAGGAACAGAGAUGAAUUGGUGAUCGUGGACGGUUACAAUAUACUUGUUUAAAGAAUGGAUGUUUGUGCGUAUUAAAGUUUAAAGUCGGGUAUAUUUUCAGACUGUGAGAGGUAGCAUUUUACAGUUACUUACCUUCAUGUUAACUAAAGAAAUGUACAGUAGAAACGAAGGUAAAUUAUGAUCAUGGAAGGUUACAAUAUAUGUGUUUAACCCCUAAAGGACCGGGGGUGGCUGUAUUUUCUGUUCUGCUGGGAUCGGCCUUCCCGUGCUAAACCCGGAAAUUGCCUGCAUUCACACACUUUCUACGCUUAACCUACAUUGCACGAGUGAAUAAGAUAGACUUUGUAAUAACCACCAAGUCUUCGUCUUUCUAAAGUCACCAUCUAGAAGUCUCUACGUGCUGUGGUUACGGAGGAACAGCGAGUUGAAUAGAAUAGACUUUUGGGGUGAGCGCACUGGUUAUAACCACCUCCGGCCCUUCUACAAAAAAGCUGCUAUAGCCACCUCCGGUCCUUUAGGGGUUAAAGAAUGGAUGUUUGCGUUAAAGUUAAAAGUUGGGUAUAUUUUCAAACUGUGAGAGGUAGCAUUUUAGAGUGGUACGUGAGACCUCUUGACCAAUGGAGUUUAUGUUUGUUAAUCCAAGUGUUUUGUAUCGUGUCGAGGAGUUUUAUCGCACGUGAAUGGCUGUAUUUACUUAAGGAAGGGGAGAAGGGUUGGCUGGCCUCAAGAACAGCUUUGAAUAUUGCUGGCCGAAGGGAAAAUAAGGAUGUCAAAUGAAAAAAAGAAGAAUUAAGAAGAAAAAGGAGCUGGGUGAUGUAGGUAUAAGUCUCCAUAUGCGUCUGAGCUCAGUGGUCGACGUAACUUACAAUUAUUAUUAUUAUCCGUGUAUCCCUGAGCUCUGUGUCAUGAGGUAUGGUUAGUAUAGGGGCUGGAGGUGUGUGUGUGUGUGUGUGUGUGUGUGUGUGUGUGUGUGUGUGUGAGUGAGUGAGUCUCUGUGUAUGUGUGUGUGUGUGUGUGGCAGGGUAGUAUUUUCAUGAUUCUCAGCAGAUGUUUUGUGGCACUGACAUUUGAAAGUCUAAACACUCUCCUAAAAUCUAUUUCUGCUUCACUAGAGGACAUGAAUCACUUUUUUUUCCAUUUUUCAUCGCAUCCAAUUAGUAGUAUUUCCAUGAUUCUCAGAAGAUGUCUUUUGGCACUGAAGGCAUUUGAAAGUCUAAACACUCUCCUAAAACUCUAUUUCGGCUUUGCUUGAGGACCGGAACCACUUUUUUAAAAUUUUUCAUCGUAUCCGACUAGUAAAUGGACGUAGUGUUAACCCCUUCAACACGAGGAUGCGUAUACUGCGUCCUUACGUGCGCCAUACCAUAUCCAAGGACGUGUAUACUGCGUCCUGGCUCGCUUUAGCCAGUAUACGAGUUAUUUCCUCUCUGUAUAUUUAUGCCUACAUCUCAAAAUUAUCAGAUAACUUGCUUCUUUAUGGGCAUCAUUUAAUUCUGCAUGUUUUCAUAUAUAAUACAUAUGUUGAGUUUACGGCUGAAAACUUGUCAUAUUCAAUAACGGCAUUUGACGCGCGCGGCGAUCUCGGAUACGGCACAGGGCGCUGUUUUGGCCCGGCCGUAGUGAAGGGGUUAAGGGAAUUACGUUAGCGAUAAUCUCCCUCUUCUCUCAUCGUUCUCUCCUUUCCUCCCAAUCAUGCUACCUCCCUUCUCGUUUAACCGUAAUAAUCUCCCUAUCCUCUCUUCUCUCCCUUCCUUCCUCCCCUUAUUCUUAACCAUUCUUUUGUGAUAGUGUCCGAGGGCAUUCAUGAGGAAACAAUCUGUAGACCACUGGCCGUAUCAUGAGUCAAAUCCGAGAUGUUUCAGGACUCACUGUUGCCAGAUUGUCGUACGCAGCCUUUGUACUUGCCGAUUGCCACCCCAAAUCUGUCUCCUCCACCCAAAUAACUAGAUCAAUUUAUAGUUAUCGUUAAAAUGGUUAAUUAUUGGCCGUUUCCUGGCAAUAAAUAUGAGUCAGGAGCCGGAAAGUACAAUGAUCUGAGUACCACGUAAAUUCAGAUUCCUACAGAGUUCGCGAUGGAUGACACUGUUGGGACUGAACACUUCUAGGAUUUGACUCGUAAUACAUCCCCUAAACCGAACUCUAGGGACCCAAAACUUCUCGGAUUCGACUCAUAACACGGCCCCAUAUUUUAAGGUGACCUGUGGGCUGCUACGUUAGUGUUAUUGGCGUGUCAAACGGUGUAACGAGGCUGCAAGGAGGUCGACUCGCUGUGAUGUUCCGCGUCCAGCCGUCAUCCGCAUACUCGGCCUAGUUUAAGAAGCAUAUUAAUAUAUUUUUGAUCAGAGAAAUUAUCGGUAUUUAUAUAUAUUCAUAGUAAUGUACGAGGAUAUAUAUAUACGCUAUAGUAAGAUAUGCAAGAUCGCUACGGUUAUGUAUUGUCUAAGGCGUUACAUGUGAUCUAUGGGAUAAUGUUUGUGUGGUAGCGUCGGUCUGUGGUCGGUAGAUGUAGAUUUGUUAGUCCGUGGUGUUCGCUGUUGGCAUUUGUGUUUCUCUAAGUACAGACGACACUCUAUGUAACAUGUUUUUUGAAGAAUUUCCUUAUGUCACAUUCUUGAGCUCACCCCCUCACAGACACAAACACAAAAGAAGAUGUAGUUUUGUUAGUCUCUGGUGUUCGCUGUUGGCAUUUGUGUUUCUCUAAGUAUAGAUGACACUCUAUGUAACAUGUUUUUUUUUAGAAUUUCCUUAUGUAACGUCCUUGAGCUCACCCCCUCACAGACACAAACACAAAAGAAGAUGUAGUUUUGUUCAUCUCUGGUGUUCGCUGUUGGCAUUUGUGUUUCCCUAAGUACAGACGACCCUCUAUGUAACAUGUUUUUUUUUAGAAUUUCCUUAUGCCAUGCCCUUGAGUUUCCUCCCUCAAAAACACACAAAAACCAUCCCAUCUUCUCUUUUCUUAUAAGUUCGGCGAUGAAGAGUCCCGGAGUCAUUGAGUUUAAUGUUUAUUCAUCGUUUUAGCCACACUACGAGCCACACCUCCUCUCAUAACCACACCCAUGCAGCCACAUCACUGAAUAUUAGAACUUCAUCUGACGUCACAUCUGCCUUACGAUUUCACAUAGUUAACCCUCGCCAAAGCCACAUUCCAUCAUGGCCACAUUCUUACCAUCCACAACCACAUCUCUGAACAUCACUGCACCACAUGUCACACCUCACACAUUCAGCUAGACCACAUCACAAACCACAUUAGCAAAUUUUGUAUUCUCAUCUCUUUCACUUUGCUGUUUUUCUGUACCGUGGCCACACCAUCCCAGCCGCACCAUCUACCAGCCAUACCCGACCAUGCUACGAUUUUUAGUGUGACCGCAUCAUCCUGGAUAUUGCCUCUGAAGUGCCAGAUACUUGAGACUUGUCCACACUUAUCACAGUCACACCCUUUUAGACCACAUCUUUGAACUGAGCCACACCAAACCACACUUGACCACAUCUCUGUAUCACCAGCAUCUCCAUGAAGUGCCACAUACCUAAGACAUGGCCACACUUAUCACAGCCACACCCAUUUAGACCACAUCUUUGAACUGAGCCACACCAAACCAUACCUGACCAGAUCCCUGUAUUACCAACACCUCCAUGAAUUGCCAGAUACGUGAGACUUGUCCACACUUAUCACAGUCACACCCAUUUAGACCACAUCUUUGAACUGAGCCACACCAAGCCAUACCUGACCAGAUCCCUGUAUCACCAACACCUCCAUGAAGAGCCACAUACCUACAACAUGGCCACACUAAUCACAAACACACCCUUUUAGACCACAUCUUUGAACUGAGCCACACCAAGCCAUACCUGACCAGAUCCCUGUAUUACCAACACCUCCAUGAAUUGCCAGAUACUUGAGACUUGUCCACACUUAUCACAGUCACACCCUUUUAGACCACAUCUUUUAACUGAGCCACACCAAACCAUGCCUGACCACAUCUCUGUAUCACCAGCAUCUCCAUGACGUGACACAUACCUAAGGCAUGGCCACACUAAUCACAGUCACACCCUUUUAGACCACAUCUUUGAACUGAGCCACACUAAACCAUACCCAGCCAGAUCCCAGUACCACCAGUGUCUCCAUGAAGCAUCACAUACCUUCAACAUGGCCACACUAAUCUCAGACACACCCUUUUAGACCACAUCUUUGAACUGAGCCACACCAAGCCAUACCUGACCAGAUCCCUGUAUCACCAACACCUCCAUGAAGAGCCACAUACCUACAACAUGGCCACACUAAUCUCAGACACACCCAUUUAGACCACAUCUUUGAAUCCAAACACGCCCAGCCACACUUGACCACAUCCCUGUACCACCAGUGUCUCCAUGAAGCACCACAUACCUAAGACAUGGCCACACUUAUCCCAGCCACACCCAUUUAGACCACAUCUUUGAAAUGAGCCACACUAAACCAUACUCAACCACAUCCCUGUACCACCAAUGUCUCCAUGAAGUGCCACAUACCUAGGACAUGGCCACACUUAUCACAGUCACACCCUUUUAGACCACAUCUUUGAACUGAGCCACACUAAACCAUGCCUGACCACAUCUCUGUAUCACCAGCAUCUCCAUGAAGUGCCACAUACCUUCAACAUGGCCCCACUAAUCUCAGACACACCCAUUUAGACCACAUCUUUGAACUGAGCCACACCCAACCACACCCAGCCAGAUCCCUAUACCACCAGAGCCUCCACCUAACCAUACAACCAUAACCCUGAGCAAAACCACACCCAGCCACACGCCAGCCAGAUCCCUGUACCACCUGCGUCUGAACCUAACCAUAUAACCCUGACCCAAGCCGCACCCACCCUGACCACAUCACCUUUCCUCUGGCUUUCACAUAGGCCUAGAGGUGACAGCUGCCUUCCGUAUGACCAGCUCAGGGCCGAGUCACACUGCCAUGAUCAAGGGAGGGGGGGAGGGGGGGGGAAGGGGAAGCAGAUUAAAGCCCGUAUCCUAAGACAUUUCCGCCUCUCAAGUCAACUAUUCUUCCAAAGGCCCGAAAGUUGAUCAGUCGGGUUCUAAUGAGUGUUUCCCUAGGUUCGAGGUACAGAAGAAGGGCCGGACUACCACCAGGGCUGUUGAACUACCACCGAAUAAGCCUGGAACUCCCGCAAAAGUUUGUUAAGGGGCGAUUACACUGGGCGAAUUUUCAGUGCAUCUUCAGUCAAACCAUGAUUUCCGCUGGCGUGGUUUUCAUAUUUCCGUGUCCACGAUCUUCCAAAGCUACGGUAGAUUUCACUGAAGGACGACGGUAUUACUCACCAUCAUCAGCAGCAACAAUAACAAGGAACAAAUGAGAACCACGCUAUCGGAAAUCAUGGUGUGACUGAAGAUCCACGGAAAAUUUGCCCAGUGUAAUCGCCCCUUAACAAACACACUUUUACGGGAGUUCCAGGCUUUUUUGGUACUAGCUCUAUGGCCCUGGUGGUAGUUCGACCCUUCUGUACCUCGAACCUAGAAACACAUUGACUAGAACCCAACUGAUUAAAAAUACAUAUAUAGCCCCUUAAAUGUUAAAAUGUUUGAGGAUAUGGAGUCUAAACUAGCAACCAGUCAUUGCCUACACAUCCACCCACCACACGGCAGGGACACAACCCACAGACAAGUUCCUCUUACGGUGUUCUCUAUAUAGACCAGCAUUUCCUUCUUAUAACCAACGUGUCACUCUUAGGAAAACCCGCAGUAAGGCCUUGAAUAGUCGGAGGUUGUGUGUGAUUUCUGGGUCCUGCGUGUGAUAUGAUAUUGGCUACCAGUGAAGGCCAAAUCCGUGCCAAUCUCAGCGGACGGGUUAAGAAUGAUGGGAACAGAAAGUAUGUCACUGAGAAUUUGGGUAAACAAGUGUGUAGCAUGUUCAAAGUGAUGUGCAGGUAGUCGCUCCUUCCAUACAAGAAACCGUAGUGUUGUGUGUGAGAGAUUCGGGUUUUGAAAGUGAAGGAAGGAUUGGACGAGCUAGAGAGGUGAUUUGAAUAUGAUUACUGGAAAAGAGAAAUUAAUAAAAAAAUAGACAGAUAAAUAAUAGAAAGUAAUGAUUAGCUCCUCUUAAAAUGAAAAUAAGCAAGAAGUCCUGAUUUGAAUAUGAUACCAGAACAAUAAAUAAGCUAAAUAAGAAAUGACCAAGAAAUGAUGGAGAAAUUUUACGAGUUCCCGUCACUGUCCGUCAUUAUUUUGUUAUGGAAAGUAGCAGAUGAAACAUUAUCAAGUUAUCAAAGUAUUAAGGAAGAGUCUCAUUCAUCACUGUUCGUCAGGAUCUCAUUAUGGACAGUGGUAGACCAAACACUAUCAAGUCAUCAGAGUAUUAAUGAAAAGUCUCAUUCAACUGUCUUUUCACAGAUGAUACGUAAAAUAUUAAUCAAGGUCAAAAGAUAUAUAGACAUGUGUGUGUGUGCAUAUAUAUAUACUGUGUGGCUGCCUUCUGUUCAUUCAAGGUGUUUUCCAUUAGUUUCUAGGUGUGGCAGACUGGCUCAAGUGCAACGGUCCGCUCAGGUUAACGUGGUGAAUAGGUUUUCGUGUGGCAGUCGUAUUUUUUUAUAGUGAGGAACGCCAUUGGUUACGAGGACUGAUUUGAUGAAUGAGUCUAACCUUCCUUUCUUUGCGGGUAUGAGAGUGACUAGUGUGAUGAAGAAGUGUGAGUGAAGUCCUUAUUCUUAAACGUAACGGCACUUCAGUAUACGCCUGUUUGAAUAGCCUAUCGUUGAAGUUUCGUGAUUCAAGUGAUAUCUUACCCCAACUUCAGCACCAUUAACGGGGAAAUCGACCAUGAAAACCCAUUAUGAAAACCUCGACAUAUGCCUGUAUGAAAAGCCAAUCGUGGAAGUCGCUGGGAUUUUCAUGGGCUGUUUCGUGAUUCCAGUGAUAUCUUAACCCGACUUCAGCGCCAUUAACGGGAAAAUCGCCCAUGAAAACCCAUUAUGAAAACCUCGAUAUACACCUGUUUGAAAAGCCCAUUGUGGAAGUCGCUGGGUUUUUCAUGGGCUGUUUCGUGAUUCCAGUGAUAUCUUAACCCGACUUCUUCGCCAUGAACGGGAAACUCACCCAUGAAAACCCACUAUGAAAACCUCGAUAUACACCUGUUUGAAAAGCCCAUUGUGGAAGUCGCUGGGUAUUUCAUGGGCUGUUUCGUGAUUCCAGUGAUAUCUUAACCCGACUUCAGCGCCAUGAACGGGAAACUCACCCAUGAAAACUCGGCUAAUCUUCUCUGUGACCUCGGGAAAUAGUCAUAAUGUGAGCCUGAGAUAUUUGCGGACAUGGGCGUGAGAGUUAGUCGGAAGAACACACCUGACAGGCGGCUUAAAAUAAUGAAAAAAAAGGGAAUGAGAAAAGAAAAUGAAUAUGUGCAUGAGUCAGUCGGAAGAACACACUUGACUGACGGCUUAAUGGAAGGGAAUGACAAAAGAAAAAGAAAUAAGAAUUAAAGAAAGGAGAAAAGACAGGCAAAGAGAAACACUGGAAGAAGGAAAGAAAAAACUAACCAUGAACUGUAUAUACCAAGUUAAGAAAUAAAAAAAAAGAAAUAACAGGCAUAGAGAAACACUGGAAGAAAGAUAGGAAGGAAAGAACAACCGAUUAACCGUAUUUACCAAGUUAAGUGAGUGAACUGUUGCAUUGAUACGAGAGCUGGUCUGUGUGUAGUUGGUGUGUCUCUUUGAAUGUCUCGGUUGAUGUUUAGCGAUCUCGGUUGAUGGAUAGUGUGUGUGUAGAGUGUUUAGGCUGGCGAGCAGGUAGACGACCCUUCCAAGAGUGUGUAAUGUUGUGUGUGAGAGAGAUACGGGGCUUGAAGGUAAAGGAAGGAUUGGGCGAGAUAGACAAUUUUAAGAUAUGCAUAGUUUCACACAUGUCACGAGAAAGCCAACAAGAAGAUACCCAAAAGAAGAAAGAAAUAAAAGAAUAAAAAAAUAGUUGAAAACGUAGUAGGCUAUAUAUAAAGUGUACGAAGAGAAAGAAUGAAAAGAUAUCCGAAGAAAGGGAAGAAAAAAUACCAAAAAGGAAGGAAGAAAGAAGCAAGAAGGGAAACAAGGUAUACAAAUGAUGAUGAUGAUGAUGAUGAUGCCCUUCCAUACAAGAAAAUUUAAUGUUUAUGAGAGAUUCGGGUCCUGAAAAUUAAGGAAAUAUAAGGUCAGAUGAAGUUUAGGAUAUGUAUACUUUCCUACAUGCCCAGAGAAAGGUUACAAAAAGGAUAUACUGAUGCCCUUCUAUACAAGAAAGUGUAAUGUGUAAGAGAUUCGGGUCCUGAAAAUUAAGGAAGGAUAGAGUCAGAUGAAGUUUAGGAUAUGUUAACUUUCCUACAUGCCCUGAGAAAGGUUACAAAAGGGAUAUACUGAUGCCCUUCCAUGCAAGACUGUGUAAUCUUGUGUGUGUGAGAGAUUCGGGUCUUGAAGGUAAAGGAAGGAUUGGGUGAGAGAAAGUUUAGGAUAUGUUGGGUAUCAUGUCCGUAGAGUCUUGUCAGGAGGAAAUGAUGGACAGAAUGAAUAUCUCCCAUCCAUCAAUGCCCAGCGAUGAAGAUUUUAACCCGGUAGCAGCGACGGACCAAAUUUGUGGCUUCACCGUGUAGCAGCGACAGGCCAAAUUUGUGGCUUUACCAUGUAGCAGCGACGGGCCAAAUUUGUGGCUUCACCAUGUAGCAGCGACAGGCCAAAUUUGUGGCUUUACCGUGUAGCAGCGACGGGCCAAAUUUGUGGCUUCACCAUGUAGCAGCGACAGGCCAAAUUUGUGGCUUCACCGUGUAGCAGCGACGGGCCUAAUUUGUGGCUUUACUGUGUAGCAGCGACAGGCCAAAUUUGUGGCUUUACCGUGUAGCAGCGACGGGUCAAAUUUGUGGCUUUACCGUGUAGCAGCGACGGGCCAAAUUUGUGGCAUGAUUUAAACCCCCCAAAAUAGAUGAUGCAUAAACUGAUCACAAAUGCGUUGAUAUAUAUUAUGAAAUGGUUUGCGUGAGUGAUGAUUUUUUCUCAUUUUCUCGCUUAGAGGGGCCUUUAAGAAACAUGAUCCCCGCAGCUACCGGGUUAAGGCUGAUCGAUUGGGUGGAUACAUUACUUGAUAUCCCCAUUUUAAAAGCUAAGAGGGGAAUUUCAUGUCCAUAGAGUCUUAUAAGGAGGGAAUAAUUGGACGGAAGGAAUAUCUCCGAACCAUCAACGGACACCAAGAUUGAUUUUUUUUAUUUUUUUUUUUUUUUUUUAUUUUUU